UCGUGACCAGGUCCUCAUUGGUGCGUCGUUGUCGCAGCCGCCUGCCUUCUGCAACGCGAAGAAAUAUACGAGAUGGAAAGUUCGCGUCACGGAGAGUCUAAAGUCAGUUGGAGCGUUGGUGUCGUUUUACAUACGUGCACCUACCGAAAACCGAACCGCGACGAAAUUCCGCGUGCGUUUCUUCGCGGUGCUCAUUAGGGUUACAGUACCGUGAUAAAUGUGGGCACGAGAUGCACGUGCGCCUUAACGGUUACUGUACCGUACCCUACCUACUCAGCCAGUAAGCUGAACCGGCCAGCCGUUGCGAACGCGGAUUUACGAUUUCUCAGAUGAAAAUAAACCUGGACCGUUUAGAGCCACCAUACUCCCACUGCAUCCAGAUAUAUUUCCAUGGACCAGAAUGACUCUUGUAAUCGGCGCCAUAGCGUCGAGCAAGGUGUAACACGUAAAUUUGCGUGUCUUAAAAAAAUCAAACCGAUAAAUCAUUUUGUUGGAGUGAAAGAUUUGUUUAUAAAAAAAACAAGGACAAAAAGUAUUUUUUUUCUUCAAAUUAUGGAUUUUUGAAUUUGCGAAGCAUGGGUCAAGGAUAUGUCGAAUCAGUGAUGAAAAUACGGUGCAAAGUCAGGAACGACGAGACGAAUAAGUCGAAUAAUAACGAAUAAUAACGAGUCG